rnacentral:snRNA from 1 species
GCCUAGGACACCAGAAUA